UACGUAGGUGGCAAGCGUUGUCCGGAUUUACUGGGCGUAAAGAGCGCGCAGGCGGUCGAUCAAAGUCGCGUGUGAAAGCCCCCGGCUCAACUGGGGAGGGUCACGCGAUACUGAUCGACUCGAAGGCAGGAGAGGGUAGCGGAAUUCCCGGUGUAGUGGUGAAAUGCGUAGAUAUCGGGAGGAACACCAGUGGCGAAGGCGACUACCUGCCUGUUCGUGACGCUGAGCGCGAAAGCUAGGGAGCA
rnacentral:rRNA from 1 species